ACUACGAGUUUGAUCCUGGCUCGAGGAUGAACGCUUGGGCGGCGUGCCCUAAUACAUGCAAGUCGAACGAGGUGCUUUUGUAGCAAUACGAAAAUAUCCUAGUGGCGAACGGGUGAGUAACGCGUUGGUGACCUACCCCAAAGUNUGGGAUAACAGUUCGAAAGAAACUGCUAAUACCGCAUGUGGUUAUCGGAUUUAGAAACUGAUAACUAAAGGAGCAAUUCGCUUUGGGAGGGACCUGCGUCCCAUCAGCUAGUUGGUGAGGUAAUGGCUCACCAAGGCUACGACGGGUAGGGACCUGAGAGGGUGACCCCCCCACAAUGGAACUGAAACACGGUCCAUACACCUACGGGUGGCCAGCAGUAGGGAAUAUUGCACAAUGGACGAAAGCCUGAUGCAGCAACGCCGCGUGUGCGAUGAAGGCCCUCGGGUCGUAAAGCACUUUUCUGAGAGAUGAGCAAGGACAGUAUCUCAGGAAUAAGUCUCGGCUAACUACGUG
rnacentral:rRNA from 1 species